rnacentral:rRNA from 1 species
UAGGGAAUAUUGCAAAAUGGGCGAAAGCCCGAUGCAGCAACGCCGCGUGGGCGAUGAAGGCCUUCGGGUCGUAAAGCCCUUUUUGAGGGGAUGAGGAAGGACAGUACCCUCAGAAUAAGCCUCGGCUAACUACGUGCCAGCAGCCGCGGUAAAACGUAGGAGGCGAGCGUUAUCCGGAUUUACCGGGCGUAAAGCGCGUGCAGGCGGAUUGGAGAGUUGGAUGUGAAAGCUCCCGGCUUAACUGGGAGAGGUCGUUCAAUACUUCCAGGCUUGAGUGCAGUAGAGGGAAGUGGAAUUCCGGGUGUAGUGGUGAAAUGCGUAGAUAUCCGGAGGAACACCAGUGGCGGAAGCGGCUUCCUGGACUGUAACUGACGCUCAGACGCGAAAGCUAGGGUAGCAAACG